AUUGAACGCUGGCGGCAUGCCUUACACAUGCAAGUCGAACGGUAACAGGUCUUCGGAUGCUGACGAGUGGCGAACGGGUGAGUAAUACAUCGGAACGUGCCUAGUAGUGGGGGAUAACUACUCGAAAGAGUGGCUAAUACCGCAUGAGAUCUACGGAUGAAAGCAGGGGAUCGCAAGACCUUGUGCUACUAGAGCGGCCGAUGGCAGAUUAGGUAGUUGGUGGGAUAAAAGCUUACCAAGCCGACGAUCUGUAGCUGGUCUGAGAGGACGAUCAGCCACACUGGGACUGAGACACGGCCCAGACUCCGACGGGAGGCAGCAGUGGGGAAUCUUGGACAAUGGGCGAAAGCCUGAUCCAGCAAUGCCGCGUGCAGGAUGAAGGCCUUCGGGUUGUAAACUGCUUUUGUACGGAACGAAAAGCCCCGGGUUAAUACCCUGGGGUCAUGACGGUACCGUAAGAAUAAGCACCGGCUAACUACGUGCCAGCAGCCGCCGCCG
rnacentral:rRNA from 1 species